UUAAGCGACUAAGCGUACACGGUGGAUGCCCUGGCAGUCAGAGGCGAUGAAGGACGUGCUAAUCUGCGAAAAGCGUCGGUAAGGUGAUAUGAACCGUUACAGCCGGCGAUGUCCGAAUGGGGAAACCCAGUGCAAUUCGUUGCACUAUCGUUAACUGAAUACAUAGGUUAACGAGGCGAACCGGGGGAACUGAAACAUCUAAGUACCCCGAGGAAAAGAAAUCAACCGAGAUUCCCCCAGUAGCGGCGAGCGAACGGGGAGCAGCCCAGAGUCUGAAUCAGCUUGUGUGUUAGUGGAACGGUCUGGAAAGUCCGACGGUACAGGGUGAUAGUCCCGUACACCAAAAUGCACAGGUUGUGAACUCGAAGAGUAGGGCGGGACACGUGGUAUCCUGUCUGAAUAUGGGGGACCAUCCUCCAAGGCUAAAUACUCCUGACUGACCGAUAGUGAACCAGUACCGUGAGGGAAAGGCGAAAAGAACCCCGGCGAGGGGAGUGAAAAAGAACCUGAAACCGUGUACGUACAAGCAGUGGGAGCACCUUCGGGUGUGACUGCGUACCUUUUGUAUAAUGGGUCAGCGACUUAUAUUCUGUAGCAAGGUUAACCGUAUAGGGGAGCCGCAGGGAAACCGAGUCUUAACUGGGCGUUAAGUUGCAGGGUAUAGACCCGAAACCCGGUGAUCUAGCCAUGGGCAGGUUGAAGGUUGGGUAACACUAACUGGAGGACCGAACCGACUAAUGUUGAAAAAUUAGCGGAUGACUUGUGGCUGGGGGUGAAAGGCCAAUCAAACCGGGAGAUAGCUGGUUCUCCCCGAAAGCUAUUUAGGUAGCGCCUCGUGAACUCAUCUUCGGGGGUAGAGCACUGUUUCGGCUAGGGGGUCAUCCCGACUUACCAACCCGAUGCAAACUACGAAUACCGAAGAAUGUUAUCACGGGAGACACACGGCGGGUGCUAACGUCCGUCGUGAAGAGGGAAACAACCCAGACCGCCAGCUAAGGUCCCAAAGUCAUGGUUAAGUGGGAAACGAUGUGGGAAGGCACAGACAGCCAGGAUGUUGGCUUAGAAGCAGCCAUCAUUUAAAGAAAGCGUAAUAGCUCACUGGUCGAGUCGGCCUGCGCGGAAGAUGUAACGGGGCUAAACCAUGCACCGAAGCUGCGGCAGCGACACUAUGUGUUGUUGGGUAGGGGAGCGUUCUGUAAGCCUGCGAAGGUGUGCUGUGAGGCAUGCUGGAGGUAUCAGAAGUGCGAAUGCUGACAUAAGUAACGAUAAAGCGGGUGAAAAGCCCGCUCGCCGGAAGACCAAGGGUUCCUGUCCAACGUUAAUCGGGGCAGGGUGAGUCGACCCCUAAGGCGAGGCCGAAAGGCGUAGUCGAUGGGAAACAGGUUAAUAUUCCUGUACUUGGUGUUACUGCGAAGGGGGGACGGAGAAGGCUAUGUUAGCCGGGCGACGGUUGUCCCGGUUUAAGCAUGUAGGCUGAUUGUCCAGGCAAAUCCGGAUAAUCAAGGCUGAGGUGUGAUGACGAGGCACUACGGUGCUGAAGUAACAAAUGCCCUGCUUCCAGGAAAAGCCUCUAAGCAUCAGGUAACAUCAAAUCGUACCCCAAACCGACACAGGUGGUCAGGUAGAGAAUACCAAGGCGCUUGAGAGAACUCGGGUGAAGGAACUAGGCAAAAUGGUGCCGUAACUUCGGGAGAAGGCACGCUGGUGUGUAGGUGAAGUCCCUGCGGAUGGAGCUGAGACCAGUCGAAGAUACCAGCUGGCUGCAACUGUUUAUUAAAAACACAGCACUGUGCAAACACGAAAGUGGACGUAUACGGUGUGACGCCUGCCCGGUGCCGGAAGGUUAAUUGAUGGGGUUAUCCGUAAGGAGAAGCUCUUGAUCGAAGCCCCGGUAAACGGCGGCCGUAACUAUAACGGUCCUAAGGUAGCGAAAUUCCUUGUCGGGUAAGUUCCGACCUGCACGAAUGGCGUAAUGAUGGCCAGGCUGUCUCCACCCGAGACUCAGUGAAAUUGAACUCGCUGUGAAGAUGCAGUGUACCCGCGGCAAGACGGAAAGACCCCGUGAACCUUUACUAUAGCUUGACACUGAACAUUGAGCCUUGAUGUGUAGGAUAGGUGGGAGGCUUUGAAGCGUGGACGCCAGUCUGCGUGGAGCCAACCUUGAAAUACCACCCUUUAAUGUUUGAUGUUCUAACGUUGGCCCCUGACCGGGGUUGCGGACAGUGUCUGGUGGGUAGUUUGACUGGGGCGGUCUCCUCCCAAAGCGUAACGGAGGAGCACGAAGGUUAGCUAAUCCUGGUCGGACAUCAGGAGGUUAGUGCAAUGGCAUAAGCUAGCUUGACUGCGAGCGUGACGGCGCGAGCAGGUGCGAAAGCAGGUCAUAGUGAUCCGGUGGUUCUGAAUGGAAGGGCCAUCGCUCAACGGAUAAAAGGUACUCCGGGGAUAACAGGCUGAUACCGCCCAAGAGUUCAUAUCGACGGCGGUGUUUGGCACCUCGAUGUCGGCUCAUCACAUCCUGGGGCUGAAGUAGGUCCCAAGGGUAUGGCUGUUCGCCAUUUAAAGUGGUACGCGAGCUGGGUUUAGAACGUCGUGAGACAGUUCGGUCCCUAUCUGCCGUGGGCGCUGGAGAAUUGAGGGGGGCUGCUCCUAGUACGAGAGGACCGGAGUGGACGCAUCACUGGUGUUCGGGUUGUCAUGCCAAUGGCACUGCCCGGUAGCUAAAUGCGGAAGAGAUAAGUGCUGAAAGCAUCUAAGCACGAAACUUGCCCCGAGAUGAGUUCUCCCUGAGACUAUAAGUCUCCUGAAGGAACGUUAAAGACGAUGACGUUGAUAGGCCGGGUGUGUAAGCGCAGCGAUGCGUUGAGCUAACCGGUACUAAUGAACCGUGAGGCUUAACCUU
rnacentral:rRNA from 1 species